GGCUGCCCGCUGCUCCUGCUGGGCCUUCGGAGGAGGCCACGUCGGCGUGGGCCAUGGCCGUCGCCUUAGCGGCGGCCACGUUGCCGACUGUCGUGGAGGAGCUCCUGAGCGAGAUGGCCGCCGCCGUGCGGGAGAGCGCGCGAAUUCCUGAUGAACAUCUAUUAUCCCUGAAGUUUGUCUUUGGUUCAUCAGCCCUCCAAGCCUUGGACCUAGUUGAUCGACAGUCCAUCACUUUAAUCUCAUCACCCAGUGGGAGGCAUGUUUACCAGGUACUUGGAAGUUCUGGUAAAACAUACACAUGUUUGGCUUCUUGUCAUUACUGUUCAUGUCCUGCAUUUGCCUUCUCUGUGCUACGGAAGAAUGACAGCCUACUGUGCAAGCAUCUCUUGGCAGUUUAUCUUAGUCAGGUCACAAGGACCUGUCAGCAGCUAAGUGUCUCAGAUAAGCAAUUGACUGAUAUGUUAUUGAUGGAGAAGAAACAAGAAGCGUAAAAGGGAUAUUGCAGAAGCAACUGAAGCAAUAAACAGACAGAUGAAAAAGAUGAUUUUACCGCCUAGGAAACCCCUCACCCUGUGCCCCCAAAACAUGAGGUGCUAGUGAAUGAAUGCUGUGUGAGAAGACAACAGUGUUGCAGUGUUUGUGGCUGGCAGAAUCUCUUGUCACAAUGAGGACUCACCUUGAAUUGGUACAGCUGAAUACAGGCCAGCCUGGGGAAUGAAUUAUACUUGGG